GAGAGAGACGCCCAGCCCGGCCUGGCCCAUAGUUCUGCGCUACCAGGAGCCCUGGGGUGCAGGGCAGGGAGAAACCUCCCACACCCCAAACCCUCGCUAGGGAGACAGCCAGGGGAACCAGGAGGUGGCCCAGGGUGUAAGAAGGCAAGGAACACCCCAGACCCCCACUAGGGGGUAUGCAGGGCAGGGAGCACCCCAGACCCCCACUAGGGGUGCAGCCAGGGGCCUAGGAGGUG